UACGAAGGGGGCUAGCGUUGUUCGGAAUCACUGGGCGUAAAGCGCACGCAGGCGGAUUGAUAAGUCAGGGGUGAAAUCCCGGAGCUCAACUUCGGAAUUGCCUUUGAUACUGUCAAUCUCGAGUCCGGGAGAGGUGAGUGGAAUUCCUAGUGUAGAGGUGAAAUUCGUAGAUAUUCGGAGGAACACCAGUGGCGAAGGCGGCUCACUGGUCCGGUACUGACGCUGAGGUGCGAAAGCGUGGGGAGCAAACAGG
rnacentral:rRNA from 1 species